UCUGCAGUAUCGUAUCCCGACUUCUAAUUUUAUUUACAGCUAAUCUCGGCACACAUAGUUGCUUUUCACCAGUAUUUUUCGCAGUUAACCUUUCUGCAUUGAAUGAAAUUGAUGGUUUUUACUUUAAUAUAGGGAACAAUUGAUUUGGAUAUCAUUUGAUUUGUAUUGUCGUACGUGACCAGUCGAGAUACCCGUCAGCAUUUUAUCCCAGCCGUUUAGUUGGAUGUCUACAGGAACACCGCGUCCUGUGCAGUUGGGAUACUACUUUAGUAGCAGAUCAACAGCGGUGGUGGUUCUGUCUGUUUGGACAUCAGAAGAAAAUUCCUGACGCGUUUCUCUUGGACAUUGAAAAUAAAAUAUUAAAUUCAACACUCUGUGAAGCUCACGACAAAUGGACUUACGAUGAUUUAGACUGUUGUCGAUGUGGUGAAUACCCGCGUAGUCAGCUGACCAACGAUACUUAUUAUUUUUACUCUGGACAACAUUAAGGGGAUUGUUGACGGAUUCAGGGGGAUGGUUCUUGAUGCGCGACCGGGGUUUUUUCUCCAGAUGUUGUACCAGGACAAGAAACCGCGAUUCUGGGAUUCGAUGUAUCGACGGGGAGAUCCACGCAGGCCUCUAAUGAAAACCCUACGGCUUUUCUGAAACAGGAGAAAUACGCGACCACCAGCUAUAAACAAUAAGCUGUCGAAUCGUGGAUGAUUAUGAACAUGCACUUCAUUAGCGUUUCGGAUUUUCCGGAAUUUAUAUCGCCUUUAAUGGAUGGAUCGAUCAUAUCGACGUCGCGUUUUCAUUGUAUGGGUUAGUUGGCAGUUGUGGCAAAAUAUGCUACUUUUGACACAGUUUGCCGACUGGAUUAUUAUGGGCUUGGACUUGUGUUUCCCUUUUUCUUGCUGCUGAAACUUGGUUCUUUUUUGUUAUUAUAUGCCCAGAUUAUUUGAGGAUUCUGAAUUCUGUGUUGCACUCCCUCUUUACAGUGUUUCUGCUGAUAUCGGGUUUUGCAUUUCACUUUUAAAAACAAAUGUUACGAGAGAAGUAUUGUUUCCAAGCAAUAGUGCUGACUUUUGUUUGAUUCUAUUUAGAAAUUUUGGUGUAACUGUUUUAUACUGGAAUAUAAAUUGUUAUAACUACGAAGUUCUUGACUUUAUAGAAUAAUAAUACUUUUUGUUGUAAAGAGAUGAUUUAUAAUUAUUUACAGAUUUCCUACU